GUAUUCCCACGUCUGCGCGACCCGGCUGGGUAGCAGAAUAGACCCCGCAGUAGAGAGUUAACAGAGGGUAUGUAUGGCAGGUCAUUAGUGCCACACAUACAGCGGUGAUCAGGACAGAUCAGAGCACGCUGGACUUUGAUUUGACCACGUUUCACUUUCAACAGGGGUUAGCUGUCAUAGGGCGAGGGGCAGGGUACACCCAGGAGAGGUCGCCUGUGGAUCUACCAGCUCCACACAGAGACAGACAAUCACGAACAUGCCCAGAACCUUCUUGUGACAAGGUUAACCACUGCACCCAUGAGCCACUCUCUUGGGUAUAUAUUUUAUUUAAAAAGGUUACUGACAGAAUGCAGCAUUGGCAACAUGUAUAUAAAAUGAUCAUAUCUGUUAUUAACUUCUGUCUCUCUUCCACAGCAUGUCUUUUAUCCUGUCUUCCUUCUCUCACCCCAACCGGUCGCAGCAGAUGGCCCCGCCCCUCCCUGAGCCUGGUUCUGCCGGAGGUUUCUUCCUGUUAAAAGGGAGUUUUUCCUUCCCACUGUCGCCAAAGUGCUUGCUCAUAGGGGGUCAUAUGAUUGUUGGGUUUUUCUCUGUAUCUAUGAAGCACCUUGAGGCGACUUAUGUUGUGAUUUGGC
ensembl:lncRNA